AAGUCGAGGGGCAGCACGAUCUUCGGAUUGGUGGCGACCGGCGCACGGGUGCGUAACGCGCAUAGAACCACCUUUUUACAGAGGGAUAGCCCAGAGAAAUUUGGAUUAAUACCUCAUAGUAUUAUAGAUUGGCAUCGAUCUAUAAUUAAAACAUUUUAUGGGGUAAGAGAUGGCUAUGCGUCCUAUUAGUUAGUUGGUAAGGUAACGGCUUACCAAGACAGCGAUAGGUAGGGGUCCUGAGAGGGAGACCCCCCCACACUGGUACUGAGACACGGACCCAGACUCC
rnacentral:rRNA from 1 species